UCUACUAUCUACUUUUUAUCAGAUUUUUGUCUAUGCUGCUUAUUUUCUGCGAACGAUGGCUGACCUGUCUGCUGAUGCUGAUACAAGCACUAAUUUGGACAGCAGUUAUACGGGCUCUCCGCUUGCUAAGCUAAGCAGUCGUGUGGGUCAGCUACGGGUAUGGCAGGAACAGCAGAGAGCUAGACUUAUCAGGCAACAGGAAGAGACACAACGUGUUUUUGAAGAAAAGCAGAGUGAGCUAGCUGCAUUGAUAGGCAGUCCUGGCUCGGGUGGAGGGUCUCCGGCACGGCAGGCUGGCGAAGGAUCCCAGAGGCCUGCUAACUCUCCUGCCACUAAUUCAUCCAGCACUGCACUGGCUGACAGACAUAACAGCCGUUCAGCCACAGAGACCAACACAAUGAGCCCUCAACGGCAGUCAGAGGGUCCCGGAGCGCCGGCGGAGCACGAGGACACCCCACUGCGGCCGGUCCAGUUCGACACCCUCCUGGAGCGGGAGCUGCAGCGGCAGACGCCGCCGGCGCCGGCGGCCCUGACCGCGGCCGGCCCACCAGCCGCCAAGCGGCCGUUCCUGAA